rnacentral:misc_RNA from 15 species
GACUGAAAAAAUUAAAUUUUAUUAAGCGAGUGUGCUAUUCUAAACUCGUUCGAUCUUUCUGUAUCCACAACAUGGAGCAGAACACUAUCGGGCUGAACUUUAUACGGAUAUCAUCGAGGUCGACCUGUUCGGACCUGUUGGCAUCAGCUGUUUUUGAUGGAUGGUUAAAUAUCGCAUACGAAAGGGCGGGUUAUAGGCUCUGCACACCGAGAUAGGCUCACGGCGGAACGUUUGAAUUUUUUGAAAUAUGUGAAAAAACACCUGAUACGCAAAAAAUACA